rnacentral:lncRNA from 1 species
UUCCAGGGUCAUGAGGUUCAAUUCAGGAGGCCAUGUUGCACAUGAUGUUCUGAUUUAUGUCGCUGAUGUGUCGACAGGGCAUUGUGGGAGAUCCUGGAGAGGGAGGCUCUCCUGGACAGAAGGGGCAGCCCGGUGUCCCGGGCCUCAUGGGAAAACUCGGCACCAUCGGACCAAAGGGUAUAAUUGGAGAUCCAGGCCCAUUUGGGAGGGACGGGGACCCUGGAAUAGAGGUAAAAUACUCUCAUGGUGAGCUCCAGCAUCAGUGUUCUUGUAUUCCCCUGUUAUUUCUCUUCCUCUCAGGCUUAUCAAGGACCUCAAGGCCUCAGGGGCAAGGUCGGCCGAAGUGGAAUCAAGGGGGAGAAAGGGCUCCUCGGGCCCCGAGGAGAAAUGGGUCUCCCAGGACAGACUGGCCCGAGAGGUUACAAAGGUUCUGCAGGAAAGCCAGGAAGACCUGGAUUUAUUGGCCCACCAGGACCUGCUGGGCAUGUGGGUGA